AAGCAUUGUUUCGCCUACACGCAUUCCGCACAUUCUUUCGAUAGCAUAAAAGCAACCCACAAUUUCGAAAUUAUUCACCACCUGAUGAUUCCUAUACGGAUGAAACAGACUGUUGUGGUUCUUUGAGGUAAAACGAAAAACUAUAUUACGCUCUAUCUAUAUGGUAUUGAGCACUGUUUGUGUUUCGUAAACCAAAAUCUU